CCUACGGGAGGCAGCAGUGGGGAAUAUUGGGCAAUGGGCGCAAGCCUGACCCAGCAACGCCGCGUGAAGGAAGAAGGCUUUCGGGUUGUAAACUUCUUUUCAGAGGGAAGAGCAGAAGUCGGUACCUCUUGAAUAAGCUACGGCUAACUACGUGCCAGCAGCCGCGGUAAUCCGUAGGUGGCAAGCGUUGUCCGGAUUUACUGGGUGUAAAGGGCGUGCAGCCGGGAAGACAAGUCAGAUGUGAAAUCUCGCGGCUCAACCGCGGAACUGCAUGUGAAACUGUUUUUCUUGAGUACCGGAGAGGGUAUCGGAAUUCCUUGUGUAGCGGUGAAAUGCGUAGAUAUAAGGAAGAACACCAGUGGCGAAGGCGGAUGACUGGACGGCAACUGACGGUGAGGCGCGAAAGCGUGGGGAGCAAACAGGAUUAGAUACCCGUGUAGUC
rnacentral:rRNA from 1 species